GCCCCCCAGGCCCCGAUGUGGGUCAGUGAUCUAUGCCUGGGUGGGCUAAUCCCUGUUUAAAAAAAAAUGCUCCACAAAAAACUGUAUAUUCAGUAAGGUAUAGUUUUGUACAUAGCAGAUUUAUUAGUGUAUGCAAACACCUUUGUACACAUACAAAUUAUGCUACAGUACUGUACACACUAUACUGCUGCAUUCACCAGCAGAUGCUGAUGUCUUGAGCUUGUAAUGCAAGCUGGCCAAAUGGUUAUAUGAUACAGGAUGGUCUGCCUUUGUCCUGUACCUUCUAUAGCAGGUGUUGCUAACUGCCUCCAUGAAGGAGGGAUUCUACAUGUACUGUAUAUUGUACAUACAGACGAGCAUACACUGUUCACUCCACUAGGGUAUUUUCACACUGAUGAAUGUACUGUAUAGUAAUAUAACUAAUAACUUUUAUGUCUUAACACUUCUAAUGAUAGGCUGGUACAGUAAUGUACAGGCCUGCACAAUACAGAUCGUAUACAUAACACCAGUGAGCGAGCAAACAUGCUUGUACAAUGGCAGGAGGCACUGAACUAAGAGUGUCAUGAUACAAGAGUUUGAGGAGAUAGGUUGUGAGAUACAUCAGCCAAUCAUAGGCAUCUCGUGCAGUCGCAUGACAAUAGCGGCCAAUUGUAGCUCAUGAGCACUCCGAGCCUACCCAUCCGUGCAUCCCUUUUUCAGAAACACGAUGCAAUCUUGGAAGUUCGUUCCGGUGCCUGGAAUGGAGAGAGAUUCCGGAAAUGCAGAUGGUAAUAUCCUCAGAAAUUCGUUUACAUGCUGGGAAUACAGACAUUUCUCAAUGUAAAGAAGAAAAAAAAUCUGGCUAUUGGGGAGUUGCAGGUAUCAAAGACUCUGGCUAAUGGGGAGUUUAUUAGAUACACUGUAUACAAUUAAUUCCUGAAUUUCGUUUUUAUUUUUGUGCACAGAAACAUUAAUGUUUUCCAACUUUAAAUUAUAGAUUAAACUACCAUAUCUAUAACUUUCAAGAACCAUUAAAUGUAAUGUAGUACUCCAGUAUUUAUAUGUGCCAUAAGGUGAAAUUCUGAAUUUUUGUAAUAGCACCAUCCAAGAGGCAACAUGGCUGGAGCUGCACUCAAGGCCCUUAGCAAUCCCAACUACAGUGUUACGUUCGGUAACCAUUCACUACUGGGCUGACUGGAAGUGCCCCUGGCGCACCCACCCCCACCCAUAAUUGUAGGGAUUAGAUAUAAUUUUCUUACAAUUUAAAAAUAAUAAUUUUUUUGUGAGUGACAAUUUCUUACCAACUUCUCUUUUAAAGCAAUAAUAAAAAAUGGGAAAUGACGUCAAUUACCAGACCCUCAGAUGUGUAAGAUUUUCUGUUGUGAGAAUUCUGUGGGGUCAUGUACAACACCUUCAUAAUGGUAAGUAGUAUACACUACAGUACUUGCUUAGACUUGGGAAAUUCUAGUUAAAUUCCAUUCUGAUAAAUUUUAUCUUUGUUCUUUAAAUGUAUGCUUUCUUUUCCAAGUUAUUAACAGUUGAAUGAUCCAUACUUGGUAACAAUGUUGGACAAUAUGACAUUACUACACAGUUUAAAGAUCUAUACUUGGUAACAGUGUUCAAAAAUACUAUUUAAUUGAAUUGUAAUGAGGUUGGAUAGUUACCUUCCACAUACCUGUUAUGUACUUAAGAAGUAAUUAAUUGCCGAUACAGGUAUCUCCCAUUUAGCGCUAAUUUACUUAAUAAUUCACUUUAGUGGUAUACUGUAUAUAGAUUUUUUGGACAUCCUUUCUCAUUUGACAUUAGGGCAAUACUGUAUACAGUUUAGUGAUAGCUUGACUCACUGUGAAAGGGGAAAACUGUGGAUGAAGGCAGCCAAAGGGAUGGUAUGUUGUCAUUGCUACAUGUAAUGAAACUAUAAAAUUAUUGAAAAUCAUUACAAUACUUGUACUUUAAUGUGGCUUUGAAAUAAAGAAAAUAUAUGAAAAGAUAAAAUAAAAAAAAAUAAAGAGCACUGGUGUAUGGGAAGUGAGCAUAUGUGUGGAGGCAGUGGGCUGUAACUGCAUCUACUCGCCACCUCAGCCUUGCACUCCCUCCCCCGAUCUGAUGUUAUGACGCACAAUUCUUGAGUAAGCUGAGUGACUGCCAGGCUGAGCUAUAUCAUAUUGCUCAGCAGAAGGUUUGAGUGUGGAAGGAGUUAUUUUUGUACAUAGUAUAUGUGCUAUUGUAUUUUAUAAUAUGCUAUAUAUCAAUUAUUAAAUUUCCUUCAAUAAUGUCUCACUGAAUUUGUCCUCAAAAUUUAUUAUGCAUGAUGAUAACCAUAUUGGCCAGAGUACUGAGCUCCUCCAGUUGGCAGGGUUUAUGGUGACAUGGAUAUCCUUAAUGAUAAGAUAUAAAUCAUCUGUUAAAUGGUAGUCUUAGGUAUGUUUUUAACAUAAUUUUUCUUUUUUGGGACUUAAGGUAUUGACGAUGUAAAGAUUCAUCAUCUGUGCAGGAAUUGCACUAGAUGCUUCAUCCCCAAAAGACAAGAAUAUUGAAGAGGACAAGCAAACUCUGUUCACCUGACCAAUUGCUGUUAGUUUCUGCACUAAGAUAUUCACUUUAUGGUGCUUAUGCCCAUUGUUGGGUAUGAUUCAGCAGCAAAGACCAAACACUGCUCUCAAUUAGCUUCAGCAAGAUUCUCAUUCAUAAUGUUCAUGUGCUGAAGCCUUCUGUACAGACUUCGUCCAUGAUGUUUCUUACCUUAAACAUGAGGAUAAUAAGAAGACAAACCAACUAUCAAAAUGUCUGACCAGUGGUUCUUCAAGGCUGUGCACUGGGGAAUCCACCUUAACUUCAUGCAAAAUAUUGGGGAAAUGAAAAGAGGACAAAGCACUAUCCAUUCACCUUAAUAAAGAAUUUGCCAGAAUGUGCAGUGGGAUGUCUACCAAACUUAUUGGUCAAUGUAUUAUUCCCAAUAUUGGUUCAGCAACAAAGACCAAGUUCAUGCUGUAAAGUGAGGGUAAGUUCCUUAUUCAUAACACUUGUACUGUAUAAGUAUUGGGGGUCCUCGCUAUAUUUUGUACCGAUAUACAUUAUUUCACACACGUAGCUAACAAAUAUAGGAAGAAAUUUUUGUUGUAUUGUACUUCAGAUGGUUCACAUACAGUACACGUCGUUUGCAUCAUCCACUAUUUUAUACUAAGUCUGUGUGUACCCAAAUAUGAUGCAUAAAUAAUAUGAAAACAUCUAAUAUAAUGUACAAAUAAACCUAAUAAGUAAUAAACAUGCUCUACAAGUGUUAAGUUUCUACCUCGCCAAAAUACAUCAGUCGCCCCUUACACGACUGCAUGUUAAUGCCAUUCUUAUCUUACCUUAGAAUUUGCAAAAAAGUCACUUCAAUGUGCUAGUGUGCCUUAUGAAUAAAGGAAUACAUAAGAAAUGGUUAUUCCCUUUAUGUUAUUGACCUUAUAAUAAUGUUUUUUCUUCAUUUACUAUGACAUCACCCACACCUUUCUGCUUUCUCUUGACCUUGAAGGUCUUUUUCCACUCAUCUUGAAUAAGGGUACACAGUAACAGAUGCAUAACUGAACACAAACUGGGGAAAGAGUUCUAACUGAGCAGUACCAUUGUUGUGGUGGCAGCUGGGAAGGUGAGCUGCCCUUCAACCAUCUUGUAACUACUGUACCACCAGAAUCCACACAAGAAACUUUUUAUAAUUUCAGCAAGUUUUGGGGUUCUAUAUCAUGAUUUUUCCUUUUGAAAAUCUUAACAAAUUAACCAGAAGUCCUGAACACACAUUCAUAACUGAACACAAUUUCUGGGGAAGAAUUCUAAUUGAAGAAUGCCAUUACGUAUUGUGGCUGCUGGCUCCUGGGUAAGUGAGCAGCCAUCCGACCAUCUUGUGGUUACCACCAAGAAUCUACACAAAAUAAAUUUUAUAAUUUUUUUGAUUUUCUUUGUUCUUUACCACGAUUUUCAUAUUUAUUUAUUUAUUUAUUUAUUUUUUUUUUUUACCAAAAUAACUAAUGGCGAAUUUUUUGUCCUUAUUGCAAAUUUUUGGGUCCUAAUUUCAAACUUCUGUAAGGGGAAUUGUUCGUAAACCGGGAUUCCAUAUCGCGAGGGUUGCCAAUGUGAUGAUAACCAUAUAGGCCAGAGUACUGAACUCCUCCAUUUGGCAGGGUUUAUGGUUUAUACUGAUAAUAUAUAAAUCAUCUGUUAUAAGAAUCUUAGGUAUAUUUUAACAUAAUUUUUCUUUUUUGGGAAUUACAGCAAUAAUGAUGUUAAUAUUCAUCAUCUGUGCAGGAAUUGCACUAGAUGCUUCAUCCACUAAGCACAAGGAUACUGAGGAGAGGACAAGCAAACUCUGUUCACCUGACCAAUUGCUGGGAGUUUCUGCACUGAGGAAUUUACUUUAUGCACCUUAUGCCUAUUGCUAGAAAAGAUUCGGCAACAAAGAUCCAAUUAACUUCAGCAAGAUUCUCAUUCAUAAUGUUCAUGUGCUGAAGCCUUCUGUACAGACUUCGUCCAUGAUGUUUCUUACCUUAAACAUGAGGAUAAUAAGAAGACAAACCAACUAUCAAAAUGUCUGACCAGUGGUUCUUCAAGGCUGUGCACUGGGGAAUCCACCUUAACUUCAUGCAAAAUAUUGGGGAAAUGAAAAGAGGACAAAGCACUAUCCAUUCACCUUAAUAAAGAAUUUGCCAGAAUGUGCAGUGGGACGUCUACCAAACUUAUUGGCCAAUGUAUUAUUCCCAAUAUUGGUUCAGCAACAAAGACCAAGUUCAUGCUGUAAAGUGAGGGUAAGUUCCUUAUUCAUAACACUUGUACUGUAUAAGUAUUGGGGGUCCUCGCUAUAUUUUGUACCGAUAUACAUUAUUUCACACACACGUAGCUAACAAAUAUAGGAAGAAAUUUUUGUUGUAUUGUACUUCAGAUGGUUCACAUACAGUACACGUCGUUUGCAUCAUCCACUAUUUUAUACUAAGUCUGUGUGUACCCAAAUAUGAUGCAUAAAUAAUAUGAAAACAUCUAAUAUAAUGUACAAAUAACCCUAAUAAGUAAUAAAAAUGCUCUACAAGUGUUAAGUUUCUACCUCGCCAAAAUACAUCAGUCACCCCUUACACGACUGCAUGUUAAUGCCAUUCUUAUCUUACCUUAGAAUUUGCAAAAAAGUCACUUCAAUGUGCUAGUGUGCCUUAUGAAUAAAGGAAUACAUAAGAAAUGGUUAUUCCCUUUAUGUUAUUGACCUUAUAAUAAUGUUUUUUCUUCAUUUACUAUGAAAUCACCCACAUCUUUCUGCUUUCUCUUGACCUUGAAGGUCUUUUUCCACUCAUCUUGAAUAAGGGUACACAGUAACAGAUGCAUAACUGAACACAAACUGGGGAAAGAAUUCAAACUGAGCAGUACCAUUGUUGUGGUGGCAGCUGGGGAGGUGAGCUGCCCUUCAACCAUCUUGUAACUACUGUACCACCAGAAUCCACACAAGAAACUUUUUAUAAUUUCAGCAAAUUUUGGGGUUCUAUAUCAUGAUUUUUCCUUUUGAAAAUCUUAACAAAUUUACCAGAAGUCCUGAACACACAUUCAUAACUGAACACAAUUUCUGGGGAAGAAUUCUAAUUGAAGAAUGCCAUUAUUGUUGCUGCUGGCUCCUGGGUAAGUGAGCAGCCAUCCGACCAUCUUGUGGUUACCGCCAAGAAUCCAUACAAAAUAAAUUUUAUAAUUUUGGUGAUUUUCUUUGUUAUUUACCAUGAUUUUCAUAUUUAAUUUUUUUUUUUACCAAAAUAACUAAUGGUGAAUUUUUUGUCCUUAUUGCAAAUUUUUGGGUCAUAAUUUCAAACUUCUGUAAGGGGAAUUGUUCGUAAACCGGGAUUCCAUAUCGCGGUGGUUGCCUGUAUGAUGAUAACCAUAUAGGCCAGAGUACUGAACUCCUCCAAUUGGCAGGGUUUAUGGUUUAUAUUGAUAAUAUAUAAAUCAUCUGUUAUAAGAAUCUUAGGUAUAUUUUAACAUAAUUUUUCUUUUUUGGGAAUUACAGCAAUAAUGAUGUUAAUAUUCAUCAUCUGUGCAGGAAUUGCACUAGAUGCUUCAUCCACUAAGCACAAGGAUACUGAGGAGAGGACAAGCAAACUCUGUUCACCUGACCAAUUGCUGGGAGUUUCUGCACUGAGGAAUUUACUUUAUGCACCUUAUGCCUAUUGCUAGAAAAGAUUCGGCAACAAAGAUCCAAUUAACUUCAGCAAGAUUCUCAUUCAUAAUGUUCAUGUGCUGACUUCGUCCAUGAUGUUUCUUACCUUAAGCAUAGGGAUAAUAAGAAGACAAACCAACUGUCAAUAUGUCUGACUAGCUGUUCUUCUACACUGUGCACUGGGGAAUCCACCUAAACUUAACUCCCUAGCCCCAACUAUGGUGCCACUGACAGUGUCCCCCCAUGCUGGGGUAAAUCGAGAAAAAUCAAAACUAUUCCAAGAAUAAUUUUUAUCCUUUUUAAAUUAUAAAACAAUUAAAAAUGAGUAAGAAAAACUACAUAUUGACCCUGUAGAAACUUCCUUGUGGCAGCAGUGGCGAGGGAAAUAAAGGGAGUGUUGUUUUGACAGCUGACGCUUCUGGUCACUCCGCACUUAGCAGCCAUUUUCUGCUUGCCAUUGUGUCCGGGAUGGCCAGUAAUACAUACAUUUACUGAUCAUAAUACUUAUUUGUUGUGAAUAAUUCUUUUAGAAUAUUUUAUUUGCAUUAUUUUUCAUAAAAAAGUGCACGGCAACACACACGCAGUCAGUCGCCAGGCUGUCUUUGUGUUUGGUAGGGCAAGUAAUGCAUAAAUUAAUAAUAAUUCCACAAAUAAAUACUUUUAUAACAUAAUCAUAGCAUUAUUAUCCGGUAUUCUACUCAACUACAAUACAACUACACUACUUUUAUCAAUAUGAAACAAAGAAAAGUAGGUAAUUACGUUCAGGAAGCCUUCCUGUGGCCGAGGUUUGGCGUGACAGGCAAAUAAUCACACGGGAACUGAUAAUCAGCACUGGGCAUUUAAACUGGCGGGAAAAGGCAUGCGUUCUGGAAUGUCACCCAGGGCCUUCCAGUCGCAUGUUCCGGUAUUUCGCCCGAGGCAUAAGGGUAAAUGCGUAAAUACUCUAUGCUAAAUAUUGGUUAUUGUUCAGCAGCAAACAGUGUGUGCAUGUUCCCAAAUGCUUUCAUUAAGAUUUCUCAUAUCAUUUAUGAAAGUAUAUAUGAAAAAUUUAACAUUAAAUAACCAUAAGUUCACAGGGUUAGGUUGCACCACCACAAUAAUUCCACCCUAUUGUCUUACUGUGUUCAAUGAUAUGAACCUAAAAAAAAAAUUAUAUACAGUAUAUCUUACCCAGACACUGAGUGUUUUAUAAAUGUAACAAUUUGCAAACUUGUGGUUUUCUGCUCUAUUAAUAAAUCUGAAUUUGUCUAGAUAUUAAAAUAUUUUAUGAUGAUAAACCUUUUAGGGCAGAGUUCUGAGCACCUGCAGUAGACAAGGGCUUAUGGGAUACUUUUAUCCUUCCUGAUAAAAUAUAAAUAUUCACUGUAGUAAAAGGUUUAAUGUGUUUUUUUACUUACAAUUUUUAUCUGUAGAAACUUCUGAUGCUGAUGUCUUCCCCAUAAAAAAUUCCUACGGUGUUUCAUCUUGUAUAUAUAGGGAUAAUGAGAAGAGGAUAAGCACUAUCCAUUCACCUGACUAAAGAUUUUGAGAGACUGUGCAGUGGGAAGUCUACCAAACUGAGUGGCCAAUACAUUAAUCCUAAUAUUGGUUAAGCAACAAAGACCAAUUUCAUGCUCUAAAGUGAUAUAAGUAAGUUUCUUAUUCAUAACACUUGUGUAAGUACUGGGGGUCCUCGCUAUAUGUUGUACAAUUGUGGAUGUUUUAUCUGCGGUACUGAUAUACAGAGAGCUCCAAAUAGUGGCUGUAUUUCUGAACACAUUAAUUUAAAAUUAACGCAAAGUAAUUCUUGGGCCCCCUGCAUUGUUUUGAUAGCAUCACCGAUGUUAGUUGUGCCACUGUUACCCAUUACAGCCAGCGUCAGUGAAAACGUAUGUUAGGUAUUUUUCCUGUGUAUAUUUCUGCUGCAUAUUUAGUCCACUUUUAUAUAUCCCUCACAUUGUCACAAAGGCUUGCAGGAAGACUCUCAGAUGGGAAGAGUGCCAAAAAGAAGUGUAUGGCAUUUUGUAUAAAGAAAAAAGUAGAGUUACUAUAGUGUCUAGAAUCUAUAUAAAGGUGCCUCAAUAAAAUCAUUAAGUGACAAAUAGGGCGUUGGUUAUGCUACCAUGCAUAAUUUGAGGAAACAAAAUGAUAAACUGUUAAAUUUAUACAGGGAUAGAGGUGCACCAAAGUUAAUGGCAGCUAGGAAAACACUACAUCAUGGGAAGAAUGUUGCUAUAGACAGUGUCAAUGGAAUGGAUCCGACAAGUUCGCAGUGAAAAGUUCCCUCUGACUCAUUCCCUCAUCAUGGGCCAGGCAAAAAUAUUCCAUGAACAGUUAGGCAUCACAACACCUUGUGAGUGUUCAUCAGGUUUAUAUGGGAAAUUUUGGAAACAGAAUGGACUUCGUAUCUUGGUUAUAUGCGGUGAAAAAGCAUCAGCUGAUGAUGGUACUGAAGCCUAUUAAGAGGAAUUGAAUAAAUUAAUUACUGAUGUACAAUGCUGAUAAAACUUCUUCAUAUUGUAGGUAUCUUCCACAGAAGAUGGUUGCACACCACAGGAAUCUGCACCAAGUGGGCUUAAAGACUCAAAAGAAAGACUAACUCUGCUUGGGUGUUCUAAUGCAGAAGAGACACAUAAAGCAAAAUUGCUUAUUAUUUGAAAAAGGAGAAUCCCACAAGCAUUAAAAGAUGUCAAAGCUUUGCUAGUUAAAUAUAUGGCUAAUAAGCGAGCAUGAGUAACCAGACACCAUCUUAGACUGGUUUGAAAACCAUUUUGUUCAUUAGGCUAGGGCAUACUGUACAUCUGCAGAGCUUGCCAGUGCUGCCAAAAUUAUGUUAGUUUUAGAUAAUUGCUCUUUGCACCCCAAUGCAAAGUUCUUUGUCAAAAAUAUUGUUUCCUGUUUAUUUACUACCUAACUGUACAUCCUUGAUUCAGCCUCUUGGCCAAGGAAUUCUGUGGUCAUUCAAGUCACAUUAUAAGGGUGAUUUCUUAAAAAAUUGUUGGCAGAAUGCAAUAAAGGAAUUUCAAAGUACA